rnacentral:rRNA from 1 species
AAUACAUAGCUUAAUGAGGGGAACUCAGGGAACUGAAACAUCUAAGUACCUGAAGGAAGAGAAAGAAAUUCGAUUCCGUAAGUAGCGGCGAGCGAACGCGGAUUAGCCCAAACCAAUAAAGUUUUCUUUAUUGGGGUUGCGGACAUAUCAUAACGAAGAGGUAUCGUAAUUGAAGAGGUUUGGAAAGACCAACCACAGAAGGUAAUAGUCCUGUAUGUUAAACGAGAAGACUUUAGAUAUGAUCCAGAGUACCACGGGACACGUGAAACCCUGUGGGAAGCAGGAGGGACCACCCUCCAAGGCUAAAUACUACCUAGUGACCGAUAGCGUAUAGUACCGUGAGGGAAAGGUGAAAAGAACCCCG